AUUGAACGCUGGCGGCAGGCCUAACACAUGCAAGUCGAACGAGUGGCGGACGGGAGAGCUAGGUAUGGGAAACUGCCUGAUGGAGGGGGUUCACUACUGGAAACGGUAGCUAAAACCGAACACCAUAGGAUGUGUCCAGAUGGGAUUAGCUAGUAGGUGGGGUAACGGCUCACCUAGGCGACGAUCCCUAGCUGGUCUGAGAGGAUGAACAGCCACACUGGAACUGAGACACGGUCCAGACUCCUACGGGAGGCAGCAGUGGGGAAUAUUGCACAAUGGGCGCAAGCCUGAUGCAGCCAUGCCGCGUGUAUGAAGAAGGCCUUCGGGUUGUAAAGUACUUUCAGCGGGGAGGCGUUACCCGCAGAAGAAGCACCGGCUAACUCCGUGCCAGCAGCCGCGGUAAUAC
rnacentral:rRNA from 1 species